rnacentral:lncRNA from 1 species
AACAUUAGACCGUAUGAACUUCAAGCAAGAAAAACAUGAAAAGUGAGCUCAACGAAAAAAAACAAAAUCAAACCUAAUAACAAAUAAAAACAAUGUUAGCAUAUGAGUGAGGAAUUGUAUUAUCAAAAAAUUUAACAAACAAAAUUAAUUGACACCAAAAUAAUGUAGGUUACAAUCUUAAUAACCCGAACCCAGAAAAAGGCCAAUGAGUUUUUUGGGUUAAAGAAAAAAAAAGGAGAACGUUAUAUAGGCCUUCUCUUAAUUCAAAACAAUCAUAGAAUGCUAUUAAUUUGAUCAUGAAUGCAAUUAAUUGAAUGAAAAAACUAAAAAAAGAAACAAACAAUGAAUUAUACAAAAUCAUUAUAGUCAUAAGCAAUUCUUUCUCGUUUUCAACC